CUUGUUGAAUAAUUUGAAGCACAUUGAAGUUAGUAGUUCUUGUAACUUAUCGUAAUCUGAUUUUUGCUCCUCAAUAGUGGUAUUCCAUCCUCUCCAACGACGUUGAUAGUUCACUGGAGGACCAGAGAGGACCCAAAAACCGCCAGGUCGGAGUAUACGAUGUACCUCAAGAAGGUAAACUCCACCUGAAAAUAAUGAGGUUGAAUUAGUAUAACCAUCAAUGCUAAUGUCUAGCUAGUUUUGUCUAUGCACUAGGCGCAGAGCGUGAAUUUGGAUACAUCCCUAUUUACGAAUUGGAAAAGCCACGCAAUGCAAAAUUAAGACACCAUACACCUUCAACCUAAAUAAGUAGAUCACCUACCGAACUCGGUCCAUGGAAUUAGGCAUCUUGAACAAUGAGCCAUAUCAAAGGAGUUUGAAGGGAAAGGAAGACGCUGAGUAGAAAUGAUGCCCAGAAUUGCAGGAAUUCCACGUUCCAGAGCAAACUGAACCUGAGCCUGGUGAUUGUCCCUUGGGGCAAGAGAGACUGUCAAAAUUCCACGAUCCAGUAAAUCACCUCCCCAGCUUGCUACCUAGAGGAAGAUGAAGGAGGAACAUUAGGCUUAACCUGAAUUCGGAAUCAGAUACUACAGAUAAGUUUUCCCAGGAGAAACAUCUAUGUUAGUAUAUUUUGUUUUCCUAUCUAGUAAUUAGUUGAGACACGAUAUUGCAAUCAGACAUAAUGUACCAAAAGAAUCAGUUACGAUUUCAGGCCGGAAAUAGCAAAAGGCAACCAAAGACACACUGAAGGACGAUGCCUAGGGAUAGGGAUAUCUUCAUUUGACUGUAAAUAAUAGUCUUCAAGAAGAAAAACUAACUAAAAUUGCUAGAGAAAUGGUUCAUGUUUGUAAGCAUAAUAGAAACAGAAGCUCCACGACAAAGACUCACCCCACAUCCAGUAUCAAUGGCAGUUCGGAUUGUCCCAUCUUUCAUUUGCGGAAUCAAAUCUUGCAUCAAAUCAACAUAGGCACCAACUCCAUUAGGAAACAUUGUACCACCACCAGGAAAGAGAAACUUCUCCCCUUCUUUUUUAAGCCAAUGUUGAUUGGACUUUUGUUUGUUAAUCCAAUCAUAUGGAACAUUCCUG
rnacentral:lncRNA from 1 species